GGGGGGGGGGAGAGAAUAAGCCGGUCGAUAAAAUUAAAUUGUCCGAAGUCGGAAGACAGCAUAUUCCAGGUCCUCAUCCGCAGCUGUUUAACGUCUCUACAAUUGCAACAAAACAUGUCCCUCUACAACCACAGCAGGCACUGCAAGCAUCCAGCAGGCCAAAGGUGCACUCCUCCAUUGCCUCCCGAGACAGACGACAACAAUAUAACAGCCACUAGCCAACUGCCAACGACCUUCAGUGGAAGAGAGCACGUGAAGAAAGGCCUCAGAUUAUGAUCACAGGCUGUGAUCGUAUGCACACCCACCUGAGGAGCAAGUAUAUCUGAAUUACACAGACUUACUUUGAAUAAAUAUGCAUCAGAUUGGCCUGUACGGCUCACAACGCUGGUCUAUUAAUUUCACCUCAAGCAAAGAGCAUGAUGUGUUGCACAAGUCUGUGGUUAAUCAAAUCCAGUGGAAGAACAUCAGCAACGUCUGUUCUGGCACGGUGUUUAGGGUGUGCCUAACUUAGGGGUGAUCUGUGUUAGCAGCACAUCCAAUCCAUGCAGUACACACAGACAGAGUGCCUCAGCACCCAAUCAUCUCCAGCCACUCCAUGUGAUUGCACCGUAUGCCCUAAAUACAGCAAGUAUCCCAGAAACAGGGACGUGGGUUUUCUCGAGAUGCUACCUGCCUAUCCAGUUUCCAACUACUACAGGCUGUAGAAAGAACAGUCUGAGGCAUCUAAAGAAACUGACGUGGCUGCAGAAUAAUAAGAAACAUGCAGAUGAGCUGAGAUUUUAGAAGGGCCCGUAUAAGAAAUGGAAUAAAGGAGAAAUCAGGAAGAAAGAGUAUAUACAAGUAGCCAACAAUUGCAGCGAGAAGGUCAGGCAGGUCAAAGGACAUAUAACACGUCCAAUUCCUGCUCAGCUUGCUACUAUACCAUUGUCAGACCCCCCAAGUGUCCCUAUUUUUCAGGGACAGCCCCGAAUUUACAGAAGCUAUCCCAGUUUCUGAUUUGAUCCCGAAAUGUCCCGCUUUUCCUUAGGGCGUCCCUAUUUUCAUCGGACAAAUGUUGGAGGGUAUGCGUUGUAACUAGGCGCAAACCACACCCAGCGAAAGGGUGGUGCCUCAGGAUACUUACCAUAAGAGACAAUGGCCUGGGCCUCAUCCCAGAAAACCAGAUCCUCACUCCACAUGCCGGAUGCACCCACGCCAUUUUGGGUAUGCACUCUGAAUUUGGAGUGAUUGGCAGCCAAUCAGAAUAUAACCCCCUGCCUGCAGCAGAGUCAGGUAGGGGAUGCCCCUCACGGUGCGACACCCAGCCUCACGCACCUCUCAUGUGGGAGAGUUUUAGCUCAGGAGGGAGUCUCCCAGAAUGGGGCAGCACAGUAGAAGUGUGCAUGGUACUUUGAAGAGCACUCAGACCAGGGCUGGUUCAAGACAUUUUGCUGCCUGAGGCAACGGAGAAGAUGGUGCCCUCCUCCAACACACAUACAGAAGAUGAAAUGACAGUAUCCUUCACUGCACUUCGAGGGUAGCAGGCUAGUGUAGGGGGUACAGGGAGGCCUUGUGGCACUUAUAGCUCUGUCUACUCCCCUCUGCUCAGCAUCUGCCACCUAAGGCACCUACCUGACUGCCUCAUCAUAGGGCCGGCCCUGAACCAAAUAAUGAGCCAGCUCUCAGUUCAUGUCUGCUUCCAGUCUGAUAUAAAUGCAUGAUGAAAUC